CCAUCUCCCCGGUAUUUGCAUACACAGUGUGUGGGGUGUAACAUCUCCCCUGUCACUCUCUCUAUAUAUCUCAUUGUACAGGAGACGUCUUCUACUUUGUAUCUGACACUCCACAAACAUCAAGAUGCUUUCUCACAGUUAUCUGCUGGCCGUCAUCUUCAUUUCUAUUCAGGGAUCCUGUGGACAGAUUGUGAUGACUCAGACUCCGGAUUCUAUCUCUGUGUCCCCGGGACAGACAGUCACCAUCACAUGUACAUCCAGUAUUAGUGUAAAUGGCUACCUAAACUGGUACCAACAGAAAUCCCAACAACCUCCAAAGCUACUUAUCUAUCAGGCCAGCACUCGACAAUCCGGGAUCCCAGACAGGUUCAGUGGUUCAGGAUCUACAACUGGAUAUAAAUUUACUAUUAAUGGGGUGACUGAAGAUGAUGAAGGACAUUAUUACUGUCAGCAGACAGGGUGGGAGCCUGUCACACAGUGA